rnacentral:rRNA from 1 species
AACGAACGCUGGCGGCAUGCCUAACACAUGCAAGUCGAACGAAGGCUUCGGCCUUAGUGGCGCACGGGUGCGUAACGCGUGGGAAUCUGCCCUUGGGUUCGGAAUAACAGCGGGAAACUGCUGCUAAUACCGGAUGAUGACGUAAGUCCAAAGAUUUAUCGCCCAAGGAUGAGCCCGCGUAGGAUUAGCUAGUUGGUGGGGUAAAGGCCCACCAAGGCGACGAUCCUUAGCUGGUCUGAGAGGAUGAUCAGCCACACUGGGACUGAGACACGGCCCAGACUCCUACGGGAAGCAGCAGUGGGGAAUAUUGGACAAUGGGCGAAAGCCUGAUCCAGCAAUGCCGCGUGAGUGAUGAAGGCCUUAGGGUUGUAAAGCUCUUUUACCCGGGAUGAUAAUGACAGUACCGGGAGAAUAAGCUCUGGCUAACUCCGUG